UACGGGGGGGCAAGCGUUGUUCGGAAUUACUGGGCGUAAAGGGCUCGUAGGUGGCCAACUAAGUCGGACGUGAAAUCCCUCGGCUUAACCGGGGAACUGCGUCCGAUACUGGUUGGCUUGAGUUGGGAGAGGGAUGCGGAAUUCCAGGUGUAGCGGUGAAAUGACGUAGAUAUCGUGAGGAAGAACCGUGCCGAGGCGGCGAA
rnacentral:rRNA from 1 species